rnacentral:misc_RNA from 1 species
AAUUCAGAUGACUAGAUAUUGGCAAUGCUUCUUAUCAAAUCGUAGCAAAAGAUUCACAUGCAGAACUAAUCCAUCCAUUGCUUUAUGGCUAUUAAAGUAUUUCAAUAUCUGAAGAAAAGGAAAAUCUAAGGUGAAAAUAUCCCUGACUACAGCAAGUGAACCAACUUCUAGACCAGCGAGGGAAAAGAGAAAGUGUUUUAAGU